ensembl:lncRNA
CAACAUGGCACCUAAAGUCCAGUGAAAAACACUUGAGUUUAUAUUUUCAGUUGUGAACUGGAAAACUAAACUUUAAACCUCUUAACAUCAGUCUUUCAAAACUGGGAAGAGCUAAUGAUUAACAGUCUUCUGGUGGGUUUGGAGUAAGAGAGAAUGUCAAAUAGGGCUUUUAUAGUUGUAAGGUGGAAAGGAUGGAAAAGGUAAAGCUAUGUCUUAUCAGACAUAGCCUGAUGGAUUUCACGUGAAAGAUGGAAAUCAGCAAUUCUAAAAUUCAUGGAGCAAAAUGUGUGGGAUGGAAGGAUUUAUCUCUAAACUUCAAGGACACUCCAAAGGCUGAAGAAGAGAGAGAUAUGUUCUUCAUCUGUGCUCUGAAAACAGUAAUGAUGAAAGACACAACUGGCUUGCUUAUAGAAUCCUGAAAGAGAAUUAUCAAGGUGGCCUUCCAGACCUUCAGUUUAAAUAUCCUGGUCCUGAGACAGAGAAAAAGCUUAUUUUAAAAAUCACUAUGAAAGGAUGUUCCAUGGAUGUGCUCAAUAAUCUUCUCAGUUAGUGAAAUACUGUGUGGCUGCAUAAACUCUCAGACAACUGUCGUGCCAAAAAUGAAAUAGAAGACCUACAAUCUCAGCAUACGUUAACCACUGGGUGAAGAAUGUUUUUUGGGAUGAUGCUGUGUGUUUUUAACUCUCACCGUUACCAUCUCUGUGGCAGAGUUCAGAAGCAGGUUACAAUUGCUCAAAUGUAAGAUGAGACAGAAAUGUAUCUUUCUUUAAAAUCCAAGGAAUGCCCAUAUUUGAUAGUGCAAUGUUAUACUCAGAAACUGAUUGUAGCCCUUACUUUAGGUGAUGAAUGGUUACCUUUUUUUCUCUGAGGUGAUGCCAAGGGCCAGGUUUCGUAUAAAAGAUACCUAUAUUUCUCCAUAACGUUAUGGAAAGUGAUGGCGAUGUUAUAAGAAUAGCAAUUAAAAUGUGUAGAAUUUGUUGCACAGGGUCAUGCUGAAGUUAAAUUAUUUCAUUUAAGAACAAAUAGUUUUCCUCUCCUCCUCUCCCUUUGCUCUAAGGGAGCAAAAGUCCCCUGUUCUAAGCCCCUUUCCCCCUCCCCCUUCCAUUUCUUCCCCUCCCUGUCUGCCUUUAUCCCAGAAGUACGCUUCUUUAAGGAAUCUAUCCCAUUUCUUUCUUUCUUUGAUAUUUAAAGCUAUUUUACUGAGAAAAUAAUUUGUUGUUUAAUAAAGGAGAAAGAAAAGUAAUUUGGUUCAGUUCAUUUCGAACUCAAAAACCCCCACCUCUUUAUUACAGGUGUUUUUUUGUUUGUUUGUUUUAAGUAAAGUAUUACAGGAAACAAUAAAAUGGAGAAAAAACACAGUACAGAAAUAUUUUCUCAUAUUAUUAAUCACAACAAACAUAAUUCCCUACAGCGGACUAUGAUUUGAAUUAUUAUAUUCUUCAACCAAGGAACAUAACUUUGCUCUGAAGCUCAUUCUUUUAAAUGAUAAUCUAGUUUCUAGCAUGUAAAGCGUAUAUUCCUAGAACAAUGUUCUGUAGAAUCUGGACUAGCUUUGUAGAACCCGUUUCAUAUCUGUCAGUGCAUUAGGAGUUCUUUUAAGUCUAUGACUUGUGUGUGUGUAUGAAAUCAAUCUAGAGCCAAACCAUGGAUUCAGAUGGUAGAAAUGUAGAACUAGAGAAUCACUGAAUAUCCUGAGUUGGAAGAGAUCCACAAGAAUCAUCUGCCCUGGCUCCACAAAGAACCACCUCAAAUUUAAGCUCUAUAUCAGAAUGGUAUCCAAAUGCUACUAGAACUCCAGAACUAGAACUUAGGGCUGUGUCCACUGCCCUGGGGAGUCCUUUCAUUAAUCCCCACCUGCCCUUCUCCAUGCCAUUCCCUCAGGCCCUGUCGCUGUUGUCAGAGGGCAAAGCUCAGCUCCAUCCCAGGUGCAGAAUUCGGCCAUCAUUCUUGUUAAACUUCAUCUGAUUCUUGAUAAUUCUGUUGGGAGAGGAAUUUGGCAGCUCCAAAAAAAAAUACAAAUUCUCAGUUGAUUUCAAAUCACUGAGAGAAAGCUCUCAAUAUUACAUUUAGUAACUAAAUAAUAACUCAUUCUCUGUAACUGUCCUCCUAAGACCUGCUGAAUUGCAGGGUGUUGUGUUUGCUUCAUUUCUUGGCUUGACAUUUGGUUGAUUUUUUUGGUUGAUAUAAAAAUUGUUUUAAGUUCUGGUUAAUAAUCUGAUGGCAGCAUAUUGGCUAUUUUCCCCUCUAUGGCAUUGCAAUGAAUGUUCUGAUUAAGACAGUUUUAACACUCAUAUACUUACAAGGAACAUUUUAAUAUUAUAAUUAAGGCAUCUACUUAUAACUGCAAUGGGAACUAAGUAAUCAAUAAUUUUCAAUUUUUUAAAUCUUUUUUUGGAAAAGGGUAUUGCUAUGGCUCUGGCAAAAAUAAAUAAAUAAAUAAAUAAAUAAAUAAAUAAAUAAAUAAAAGUCCAUCAAACUGUAUAGAAUUUAUUUCCACAUCUAUAUCUUUUAUCCCUAAAAAAUUAUUGAGCUUGAAACAUGACAUUAAAGUAAGUUUAACAAAACAAGAAAAAUUAAAUGUAUUUCUAGUAACUGGGAAGUUUUUUUCAUUGGUUUACAGAUUUUAUGGCUACAGGAGAUCAAAACUUGGAUCAAAUAAGUAUUCAGUAUUUACUAUUAAAAAAAAAAAAACAGUGUCUUAUUUUGCUAUCUUUGCUAAUAAUGCGUGUCAGGUACCUAAAAUCCCAUCAGCUAAUUUGAAAGUUAUUUUAUGCUUUUAGCUGGAUUCUUCACAGUUGUUUUCUGCAGCUUGAAAACAGAGGCAUCUGAACUCUUGCUCUUAUCUUUGUAGUGUCCUGGGAUUGAAAGAAAAAAUCGACCAGUACCAGUAAAUAACUUAUAUAACUAACCAGUACCAGUAAAUAACUUAUUUUUUCAAUGACACUGUAGUAGAAUGAUUCACAUGGGCUAUCCUCUAGAAAGCACACUAUAAACUUCUUUUAUUUGCUUCAACUCUUCUCACAUAGAAAAUAAAAUAUGCUGAAGAUAAGAUUUUACAGAAGAAGUAAAACCAAAGUUCUUGGCAUCACAUCAAACUGAGUGGAACAGCGUGAAAGCUGCCCAGAGACCAGAAGAGACUUGUUUGAGAAAAUAUUCUGCACCACUGAACAAAAAUCGUUAUGCUAUGAUAGAUGCAAUUGAACUACCUUAACAAAACAUCAGUGUCAAAUAAAAUAGCUUGCCACUGGAACUGAACCAGUGAAUGUAGGUGGGAGAGAUUUUUGCAUUUUCUAGUGGACUAAGGAAAUCUCCAUCCAGUGCUGGUGUAAUGCAGAAGAGAAUUCAAACGUUAUUUGAUGUUAACAUUCUUCCUUAGAAAAAAACAAACAGACAAAUGAAAUAUCUGAAUUUCUAUCUAAAUUUCUGAGAAAUGAGUUUAAAUAAAAUAUGGCCUUUGAAGUGAACAUGCCUGCUUCUAAGAAAACAAUUUGUGUUUGGAAUAAAAGUUCUCAGUAUAAUAAGAAUAAUAAUAAAUAAGCUUAGAACAAGAACCAUAGUCUGUGAUCAAAAUUCAAGAUAAAUUGCAACAAGAAAUUUAAGUAUCUUACUGUUGUUGGUAUAUAGUUAAGAUAUUGUUAACAUAGAGAAGGCUGAAAAAUCCAGCUAUCAGCUUGUUUAUAAUUGGA